rnacentral:lncRNA from 1 species
UAUAAGAUAUGCAAAAUAAAGUAAACAUACUUAAUAAAUAACAUGGUACGACAAAUAAUAAAUAAAUUUGUACGGCCCAUACAUGUCUUAGAAAUAAUCGUCAUGAUUAGGAUUAGCUGGAUCAUAAGUCUCAUCAUCAUCGCUGUCACGCGUGUCAAUAAAAUCAUUCUCGUGCUCCGAAGGAGGAGUGUCAUCAUCAAUCUCCUGUCCUAACUGUAACCGCUGAAGUAAUUCUAACUCCUUCAUAUUAUGAACCUCCUCUCCAGCAUCAUCGUCAGCAACCAUUUCAUUGUCCACUUCCAUUCUCAUAGCGUCGGUUAAAUCAAUCUCAAAAUUCCCUUCGAGGCCAUCUUCUUGAAAAAAAUCUCCGUCAUAUGUGUUGGGGUCAAUGUUGUAAUCUUCAUUGUUUGGUACAGGUAAUUUACCGUGCGGCGAUACCUUGUACACAACAUCCCAACCUUUAAGACGGUCGUCGGAUUGGCACGGGUAUGACAAAUAAUAAACUUGCGUGGCCUGUUGAGCCACAAUGUAUACAUCGUCUCCUUCUAAGACGGAUGAUUGGCGAAUUUCGACUAACCCAAGAUUAGGUGCCCGUCUCACGACUGAUGGAUCAAACCAAUGGCAUUUGAAUAUGACUGGAUUAAGAACUUUGCAACCAUGAAAAGUUAGUUCGUAUAUCUCUUCAAUUCUUCCGUAGUACUCUACACCAUCAAAGCCUGGCGUAAAAACUCCGCUAUUUGUCGUUCUUCGAUUGGGCCGACUAUGCUCAUGGCUUGUUGUGUGAAAGCGAUAUCCAUUUACAU